rnacentral:piRNA from 1 species
UCCAGACUGUGUGCAUCGAGUGCAAGGGC